GUGGGGAAUAUUGGACAAUGGGCGAAAGCCUGAUCCAGCCAUGCCGCGUGUGUGAAGAAGGUCUUCGGAUUGUAAAGCACUUUAAGUUGGGAGGAAGGGCAGUAAGUUAAUACCUUGCUGUUUUGACGUUACCGACAGAAUAAGCACCGGCUAACUUCGUGCCAGCAGCCGCGGUAAUACGAAGGGUGCAAGCGUUAAUCGGAAUUACUGGGCGUAAAGCGCGCGUAGGUGGUUUUGUAAGUUGGAGGUGAAAUCCCCGGGCUCAACCUGGGAGCUGCCUCCAAAACUGCAUGACUAGAGUACGGUAGAGGGUAGUGGAAUUUCCUGUGUAGCGGUGAAAUGCGUAGAUAUAGGAAGGAACACCAGUGGCGAAGGCGACUACCUGGACUGAUACUGACACUGAGGUGCGAAAGCGUGGGGAGCAAACAGGAUUAGAAACCCUUGUAGUCC
rnacentral:rRNA from 1 species